rnacentral:sRNA from 1 species
CCAGGUCAGCACAGCUCUCAGCGGAGAGCUCAUCUCUCCUGCCCCGCUUCUCUCCCCAGGUGAUCCUGAAGGACCUGGAGGUGCUGGCAGAAAUCGCUUCCUCCCCCGCAGGCCAGACGGAUGACCCAGGCCCCCUCGAUGGCCCUGACCUCCAGGCCAGCCACUCAGAGCUCCAGGUGCCCACCCCUGGCAGAGCCGGCCUACUGAACACCUCCGGUACCAAAGGCUUAGAAUGUUCUCCUUCCACUCCCACCAUGAAUUCUUACUUUUAUAAGUUCAUGAUCAACCUUCUCAAGAGAUUCAGCAGCGAACGGAAGCUCCUGGAGGUCAGAGGCCCUUUCAUCAUCAGGCAGCUGUGCCUCCUGCUGAAUGCGGAGAACAUCUUCCACUCGAUGGCAGACAUCCUGCUGCGGGAGGAGGACCUCAAGUUCGCCUCGACCAUGGUCCACGCCCUCAACACCAUCCUGCUGACCUCCACAGAGCUCUUCCAGCUAAGGAACCAGCUGAAGGACCUGAAGACCCUGGAGAGCCAGAACCUGUUCUGCUGCCUGUACCGCUCCUGGUGCCACAACCCAGUCACCACGGUGUCCCUCUGCUUCCUCACCCAGAACUACCGGCACGCCUAUGACCUCAUCCAGAAGUUGUAUCCUUCCUCUCACUGUGGUUGGGGUUGAGCCUCUGAGGGGCAGGAAGGGGCCGGCUGCCCCCUUUCCACCCAACAGGCGGGCCCAAGAGCCAUGCUCCUGUCCCCACCCCUCCACUCAGCCUCAGGGCUUGUGACAUCAGGGCUGCCAGGACACUGGGAGGGGAGGGACAUAUUUGGGAGAGCGAGAUUGGCAGCAAAGAGGGGCUCUUGGAGGGGGAGCUGGCCCGGGAGAAACCCUGUGGGUUG